rnacentral:lncRNA from 1 species
CUGUAUUUGCCACCGAAAUGCGUAUUCAUUCUUACACAUACGAUGGGACUAAAAUGGCAGUUUUACAAUCCAUGGUGUUACCGAACACCUACCUAUACACGGAAAUCCAAAGUUCCUCCUCUAAUGGCAUUGAAACACAUUACAACAGGUUCUUUAGUGUCUUCAAUCUUGACACCAAGCCAUUAGAAACACAUUACAACAGGUUCUUCAGUGUCCUUCAAUCUUGGCGCCAACCUCCAAAUUUGUGGGUCAUUACUUUCUGAAUGUCAGCAGGUGGUUCAGAAAGUGAUUCGCCGGACAUUGAAACCCGCCCGUGAUUUGCAAUUGAUUCUCUG